AUUGAACGCUGGCGGCAUGCCUUACACAUGCAAGUCGAACGGCAGCACGGGAGCAAUCCUGGUGGCGAGUGGCGAACGGGUGAGUAAAGUAACGGAACGUGCCCAGUCGUGGGGGAUAACGUAGCGAAAGUUACGCUAAUACCGCAUACGAUCUAUGGAUGAAAGCGGGGGAUCGCAAGACCUCGCGCGAUUGGAGCGGCCGAUAUCAGAUUAGGUAGUUGGUGGGGUAAAGGCUCACCAAGCCGACGAUCUGUAGCUGGUCUGAGAGGACGACCAGCCACACUGGGACUGAGACACGGCCCAGACUCCUACGGGAGGCAGCAGUGGGGAACUUUGGACAAUGGGCGCAAGCCUGAUCCAGCCAUGCCGCGUGCAGGAUGAAGGCCUUCGGGUUGUAAACUGCUUUUGUGCGGAACGAAAAGGUUUGACUUAAUACGUUGGACUCAUGACGGUACCGUAAGAAUAAGCACCGGCUAACUACGUGCCAGCAGCCGCGGUAA
rnacentral:rRNA from 1 species